rnacentral:rRNA from 1 species
UAAGGAAUAUUGGUCAAUGGAGGCAACUCUGAACCAGCCAUGCCGCGUGCAGGAAGACAGCCCUCUGGGUCGUAAACUGCUUUUAUUCGGGAAUAAACCUUUCUACGUGUAGGAAGCUGAAUGUACCGAAGGAAUAAGGAUCGGCUAACUCCGUGCCAGCAGCCGCGGUAAUACGGAGGAUCCAAGCGUUAUCCGGAUUUAUUGGGUUUAAAGGGUGCGUAGGCGGCUUAUUAAGUCAGGGGUGAAAGACGGUGGCUCAACCAUCGCAGUGCCCUUGAUACUGAUGAGCUUGAAUGAACUAGAGGUAGGCGGAAUGUGACAAGUAGCGGUGAAAUGCAUAGAUAUGUCACAGAACACCGAUUGCGAAGGCAGCUUACUAUGGUUUUAUUGACGCUGAGGCACGAAAGCGUGGGGAUCAAACA